AGAACACAGGUGCUGCAUGGCUGUCGUCAGCUCGUGUCGUGAGAUGUUGGGUUAAGUCCCGCAACGAGCGCAACCCUUGUCAUUAGUUGCCAUCAUUUAGUUGGGCACUCUAAUGAGACUGCCGGGUGGAACAAACCGGAGGAAGGUGGGGAUGACGUCAAGUCCUCAUGGCCCUUAUGGGUAGGGCUUCACACGUCAUACAAUGGUCGGUACAGAGGGUUGCCAAGCCGCGAGGCGGAGCAAAUCCGAAAAAGCCGGUCUCAGUUCGGAUUGCAGGCUGCAAUUCGCCUGCAUGAAGUCGGAAUCGCUAGUAAUCGCAGGUCAGCAUACUGCGGUGAAUACGUUCCCGGGCCUU
rnacentral:rRNA from 1 species